GACGAACGCUGGCGGCGUGCCUAACACAUGCAAGUCGAGCGAAGGCAUGAGUGUAGCAAUACACUUAUGUACUUAGCGGCGGACGGGUGAGUAACACGUGGAUAAUCUGCCCUGAGGACCGGGACAACUCUUGGAAACGGGAGCUAAUACCGGAUGUGACCACGAUGCUUGAGGGCAUUGGGGUAAAAGGGCGGCCUGCAAGGGCUGUUGCUUCGGGAUGAGUUCACGACCCAUCAGGUAGUUGGGG
rnacentral:rRNA from 1 species